rnacentral:rRNA from 1 species
UCAAGCUACAAAGGGCGCAUGGUGAAUGCCUUGGCAUCAGGAGCCGAUGAAGGACGUGAUAAGCUGCGAUAAGCUUCGGGUAGGCGCACAUAGCCAGAGAUCCGGAGAUUUCCGAAUGGGGAAACCCGCAUGAGAAACCUCAUGCAUCGUAAAGUGAAUACAUAGCUUUAUGAAGGAACACCUAGGGAACUGAAACAUCUAAGUACCUAGAGGAAGAGAAAGAAAAAUCGAUUUUCUUAGUAGCGGCGAGCGAAAAGGAAAGAGCCCAAACCAGAGAUUUAUCUCUGGGGUUGCGGACAGAACAUAACGUGAAAUUAUGAUUAACCGAACACAACUGGAAAGUUGGACCGUAGGAGGUAAUAGUCCUGUAAGUAAAAGUCAUAAUGAUCAGUUCUGCACCAGAGUACCACGAGACACGUGAAACCUUGUGGGAAGCAGGGAGGACCACCUCCCAAGGCUAAAUACUACCUGAUGACCGAUAGUGAAGCAGUACCGUGAGGGAAAGGUGAAAAGAACCCCGGGAGGGGAGUGAAAUAGAACCUGAAACCAUGUGCCUACAACCGAUCAAAGCACCUUAUGUGUGUGAUGAUGUGCUUUUUGUAGAACGAGCCAACGAGUUACGGUAUGUAGCGAGGUUAAGUACUUAAGGUACGGAGCCGAAGGGAAACCGAGUCUUAAUAGGGCGACUAGUUGCAUGCUGUAGACCCGAAACCGGGUGACCUAUCCAUGGCCAGGUUGAAGCGAGGGUAAAACCUCGUGGAGGACCGAACCACGUUGCUGUUGAAAAAGCAUGGGAUGAGCUGUGGAUAGCGGAGAAAUUCCAAUCGAACUCGGAUAUAGCUGGUUCUCCUCGAAAUAGCUUUAGGGCUAGCGUCGUGAAAUGUGAGUACUGGAGGUAGAGCACUGAAUAGGCUAGGGGGCAUAGCGCUUACCGAACCUUAUCAAACUCCGAAUGCCAGAUACUAUCAGCACGGCAGUCAGACUAUGAAAGAUAAGUUCCAUGGUCAAAAGGGAAACAGCCCAGAUCGUCAGCUAAGGUCCCAAAGUGUAAGUUAAGUGGAAAAGGAUGUGGGAUUUCUAAGACAACUAGGAUGUUGGCUUAGAAGCAGCCACUCAUUAAAAGAGUGCGUAAUAGCUCACUAGUCAAGAGAUCCUGCGCCGAAAAUGUCCGGGGCUCAAACUUACCACCGAAGCUACGGGUUCAUACUUUGUAUGAGCGGUAGAGGAGCGUCGUAAUCGGGCUGAAGUCGUACCGUAAGGAGCGGUGGACUGAUUACGAGUGAGAAUGUUGGCAUUAGUAGCGAGAUGUAGGUGAGAAUCCUACAGGCCGAAUAUCUAAGGUUUCCUGAGUAAAGUUUGUCUUCUCAGGGUUAGUCGGGACCUAAGGCGAGGCCGAGAGGCGUAGUCGAUGGACAAUUGGUUGAUAUUCCAAUACCACUAUAAUCGUUAUUAUCGAUGGUGUGACGGAGAAGGAUAGGAUGUGCCAGCUAUUGGAUGCUGGUCUAAGCGUUGAGGGAGUUAGAACAGGCAAAUCCGUUCUAACAAUCCUAGGGCGUGAUGGGGAAGGUUCUACGGAACCGAAGUAUCUGAUUUCAUGCUUCCAAGAAAAGCAUCUAGAAAGAGAAGUAGUGCCCGUACCGCAAACCGACACAGGUAGAUGAGGAGAGAAUCCUAAGGCCGACGGAAGAAUCACAGUUAAGGAACUAGGCAAAUUGACCCCGUAACUUCGGGAGAAGGGGUGCCUACCAUUUGGUAGGCCGCAGAGAAUAGGCACAAGCAACUGUUUAACAAAAACACAGGUCUCUGCUAAAGCGUAAGCUGAUGUAUAGGGGCUGACGCCUGCCCGGUGCUGGAAGGUUAAGGGGAACACUUAGCGCAAGCGAAGGUGUGAACUUAAGCCCCAGUAAACGGCGGCCGUAACUAUAACGGUCCUAAGGUAGCGAAAUUCCUUGUCAGGUAAGUUCUGACCCGCACGAAUGGCGUAAUGACUUGUGCACUGUCUCAACUGUGAAUCCGGCGAAGUUGUAGUGCGAGUGAAGAUGCUCGCUACCCGCGAUUGGACGGAAAGACCCCGUAGAGCUUUACUGUAGCUUAGCAUUGAAUUUCGGUAUUGUCUGUACAGGAUAGGUGGGAGACUGGGAAAUUA